AAUCUUCCAUAAUGGGCGAAAGCCUGAUGGAGCAACGCCGCGUGAGUGAAGAAGGUUUUCGGAUCGUAAUACUCUGUUGUAAGGGAAGAACAAGUACAGCAGUAACUGGCUGUACAUUGACGGUACCUUAUUAGAAAGCCACGGCUAUCUACGUGCAAGCAGCAGCAGUUAUACGUAGGUGGCAAGCGUUGUCCGGAAUUAUUGGGCGUAAAGCGCGCGCAGGCGGUCCUUUAAGUCUGAUGUGAAAGCCAAAGGCUCAACCGUGGAGGGUCAUUGGAAACUGGGGGACUUGAGUGCAGAAGAGGAAAGUGGAAUUCCAAGUGUAGCGGUGAAAUGCGUAGAGAUUUGGAGGAACACCAGUGGCGAAGGCGACUUUCUGGUCUGUAACUGACGCUGAGGCGCGAAAGCGUGGGGAGCAAACAGG
rnacentral:rRNA from 1 species